AAGCUGAUGAAAUAUUGUAUUUAUUAUUAGUAAAAGAACUUGGCCUUUCCUUCACCUACUGAAAAAUACGAACAAGAAAUAUGUUCAAACUCAGUUUAUUCUUCGUCCUUUUGGCUGUGGCCUUCAUGGGAACUAAAUCCACAUCUAUUGGAAUACCAUGCCCUGGUGGCGGUAGUGGUGCCGGCCAAGGUGUCGGUCUAGGAGAAGGUGUCGGUUACGGCCAAGGUGGCGGUAAUGGUGGCAAAGGUGUCGGUCUAGGAGAAGGUGUCGGUUACGGCCAAGGUGGCGGUAAUGGUGCCGGCCAAGGUGUCGGUUUAGGAAAAGGUGUCGGUUACGGCCAAGGUGGCGGUAAUGGUGCCGGCCAAGGUGUCGGUUUAGGAAAAGGUGUCGGUUACGGCCAAGGUGGCGGUAAUGGUGCCGGCCAAGGUGUCGGUCUAGGAAAAGGUGUCGGUUUAGGCCAAGGUACUAAUGGAAAAAGCAUUACACAAGCAAUCGGUGUUGGAUUUGGGUUGGGAGUUGGCGCGUCUAAAACUGUGACACAAAACAGCCCGGUGCCAUGUUAAGUGGUAGGUAAAUAGUCCGCCGAACAAUAAAAUCUCAAUCGGAAUGUAAGAUUGUAUUACAUUAAUUUGAUUAAAUCCGAUUAAAUUCA